rnacentral:rRNA from 1 species
AACGAACGCUGGCGGCAUGCUUAACACAUGCAAGUCGAACGGUUGCAGCAAUGCAGCAAUGGCAGACGGGUGAGUAACACGUGGGAACCUUCCUAGGGGUACGGAACAACUCAGGGAAACUUGAGCUAAUACCGUAUACGUCCGUGAGGAGAAAGAUUUAUCGCCCUAGGACGGGCACGCCUCGGCUGAGCUAGUUGGUGGGGUAACGGGGUACGAAGGCGAGGAUCCGUAGCUGAUCUUAGAGGAUGAUCCGCAACACUGGGACUGGGACGCGGCCCAGACUCCUACGGGAGGCAGCAGUGGGGAAUCUUGGACAAUGGGCGCAAGCCUGAUCCAGCCAUGCCGCGUGAGUGAAGAAGGUCUUCGGAUUGUAAAGCUCUUUUGCCCGGGACGAUAAUGACGGUACCUGGAGAAUAAGCCCCGGCAAACUUCGUGCCAGCAGCCGCGGUAA